CUGCCUGCUGGUUACCAUGACAACGCCUACUGUGCUGGGUAGGAGCAGCCCUGCAGGCUCUGUCAGGACAGAAAAUACAGAAAUUUCUUAGUGACUGAGGGACCAAUGCAGCAACACGUGCCAGUGCCCCACCUCUCAAAACCUCCUCUCCUCCAACAUUGUCCAUUUCCAGUACGGCUGUGUACCAAGGCACCCCAGCUCACCCAUGUUGCAAACCCUUUCCUUUCUAACCUUUAUGCCCUCUGGAAUACUGGGGUUUGGGGACCACAUUUCCCACUACUGUGGGUUCACA